rnacentral:rRNA from 1 species
UACGUAGGGUGCAAGCGUUGUCCGGAAUUAUUGGGCGUAAAGAGCUCGUAGGCGGUUCGUCGCGUCGGCUGUGAAAUCCCGAGGCUCAACCUCGGGUCUGCAGUCGAUACGGGCAGACUAGAGUUCGGCAGGGGAGACUGGAAUUCCUGGUGUAGCGGUGAAAUGCGCAGAUAUCAGGAGGAACACCGGUGGCGAAGGCGGGUCUCUGGGCCGAUACUGACGCUGAGACGCGAAAGCGUGGGGAGCGAACAGG